rnacentral:rRNA from 1 species
CCUACGGGGGGCAGCAGUGGGGAAUAUUGGACAAUGGGCGAAAGCCUGAUCCAGCCAUGCCGCGUGUGUGAAGAAGGUCUUCGGAUUGUAAAGCACUUUAAGUUGGGAGGAAGGGCAGUAAGCUAAUACCUUGCUGUUUUGACGUUACCAACAGAAUAAGCACCGGCUAACUCUGUGCCAGCAGCCGCGGUAAUACAGAGGGUGCAAGCGUUAAUCGGAAUUACUGGGCGUAAAGCGCGCGUAGGUGGUUCAGCAAGUUGGAUGUGAGAUCCCCGGGCUCAACCUGGGAACUGCAUCCAAAACUACUGAGCUAGAGUACGGUAGAGGGUGGUGGAAUUUCCUGUGUAGCGGUGAAAUGCGUAGAUAUAGGAAGGAACACCAGUGGCGAAGGCGACCACCUGGACUGAUACUGACACUGAGGUGCGAAAGCGUGGGGAGCAAACAGGAUUAGAUACCCCGGUAGUCCAC